GUCUUCGUGGUGUAAUGGUCAGCACACUCGGCAUGUAUUCGAGAGGUCUGAGGUUCGAGUCCCGGCAAGGGCA
rnacentral:tRNA from 1 species